UUUACAUGUCUAUAAUUAUUGUGGGUGUAGGUGACCUGUAUUACAAUAGUCUUUGGGGCUUUGACUAUGAUUAAGUAAAUGACAAUUUUGAAUUAUGUAGUCAAGUCCUUCAUUUUUAGGUAUCACAAACAUUUAUGCAGUACUAUAAUCAUGGCUGUAAUCUAUUUUCCCUAGGGGUAAAGUGUUGAAGAAAUACCAACCAGAUGAUGAACUUUUUUUGUUCUUUGCAUUUUCUUAUAAAGCGGAUAGUUUUGAUGUGUGAUCAUAGGAAAAUUUGGGGAAUGGCAGAGCUAGUAAGGCAAAAUGGAGGAAGACUGGUGGAAGUAAUGGUUAUGGAGUGAAAUAGGUUGUAGAUGGAGUACCGUACCUGAUCUCCUGUACAUCACUCCCAACAUCAACUCUAUCAAUCAAUUUCAGAACACUUGAAGGUUCUCGCUUUAGAUAAUCAGAAACAUUCAAAGGUCUCAGUUCAAGCUUCGAAAUAGGAGAUGUAGAUAUUGACAGUUGAAAAGGGUGGGAUGAGUGUUUAUGAAAGAUUGGGAUAUUCAUGACUACGUAGGGUAGAUAACUCGGUCAAUUAACUCGAUUUUAUAGCAUUGUCAUGAGUUGGUAGAUUUUGUCACAAUAUCGGUUAAAAUGUAAUUUAGCAAGAUCAUACAAGACUGAAUUCUAGAAGAAAGAUAAUAUAUAAACUAUAUGUCGGGAAUAUUAUGUGGUAUUGUCUACGUGAUACUUUCAACCAAUAAGAAAUUGUAAUGCACGCUAAAUGUUUGUUUGGAGGACUUAACAUUGGGAUUGGAUUAAUAAUCCUACAAAAUGCAAGAUUUGAUAUUUAGCUGAGCAAAUUGGUGUUUGGACUAGUAAUCUAUUUAGACAUAGUAUUCCUUGUAUAGGAGACUAUUGAAUUCCAAGAAAGGGGUGAGAUAUAAAAUGGAGUAAGUAAAUGUUUAGAUUUAUUAGUUAAAUUGUAAAAUUGAUAGGUUUUGUCAAUCCCUCUUUAUAAACAUAAAACAAUUUAAACAUGGAAUAGGAUAAACAAUUCCAAAAAAUUGAUAAUUCUAGGACUAACCGUUUAAAUGCUAGUGUGUUUGGUUUUAGUUUUUUAAAUUUAAUUUUUUGAAAAUUGAGUUUUUUGUUUUUCGUGUUUUUUGUUUUGUUUUUGUUUUUAGUGAAUAUUUUAAAAAUUUUAAACAUUUUUUUUUUAUU